UAUAUCAAUAGAGCAUUGCGUGCAAAUGGAUAACCUCGUUUUUUGACAGUUCUGAGAGCUUCUUUAUAUGAACUAAGAACAUAGUUUGAAUCGCUAGUAAAUGUCAACACUUUGUAAACAAGCUAGCUGAACUGUUAUUUUGUCCUUCGAUGUCGUUAUCGUGGAAUGUUUCAUUGUGCAGAUCCGGGAAACAGAUAUGCAAAUUAGAGAAAACUAUAUUAUAUUAAUUAAAUUCAUCAAUCUUUGAAGAAAAGUUGUUCUGCUUUUGAAGUGAGAUUAUUUCCUCAAGGUGUAGUUACAACAUAUCUGGACUAAGGCAUCAACUCGAUCCCGUUUCAAUGAUCAUAUAUUUGCUGGUACAGGAUCAGCAAGAAGCAGUACAAUUAUUUAAGUAAAGGGACGUGAUGUGACUUAUUACGGCUAUCAUCGGGUACUUGUGCUUUCGAUGUGCACACUGAAAGACAGUAACAGCCCAUACAAGAAAACCUUUGGAUAGUCGAUUUAAGUUAUAACGUUCAAAGAAAUUCCGGUACAACAUAGAAAAAGUGAAUUAGAUUGCCUGAUUCCAACCAAAGAUUUGGUAUAAAUAGAUGGAUUCGAGAUUUGAACAAGGAGAAUUUUUAGUGUCAGUAGGAUUUCAUCCUUUCCCCUCGAAUUUGUCGUGUACCCUGGAAUCAACUGCGCAGUACACCGAAACUGAACUGAACGUCAAAUGUUGUACAGAAGGAUCAGGCGAGGUAAAUUGAAUUGUCACUUCCGAUUGAUUGGAAGUUUAGGUUGCACAUGGGAUGAAAAUAAAUAAUAUAACAUCUUGUUUGAUUGAUUAUAUCGUAACACGACCAAAGCGGGUUGGAGGACAAACCUAUGCGGGUCUGUUAUUUUGGGAACUGAGAUCGCCGAUGCGUUAACUAUUCCGACUACAAAUCUCUUGAGUUGUGAUAUCAAGGAGAUUCUGCUGUUCAUACAUAUCUCAUGGAAUUGUGGAUUGAAAUAAUCAUCUGUUACCAAGACUGUCUACGGUGUUAUCAAUCGAUUUUUUUCAGUAAACAGUUCUGGAAGAAAGGUGAAAUAUGGAUAAAGGCCGCUAGUACCAAGUACGUAUACUGCCUCUAUACGCAUAACUGUCCCCUGUGCCAUGGGAUUCCCUAUACACAUGGGACAAUUAUGCGUAUAGCGGCAGUAUAGUAACAGCAAAUGAAAAAUAUAUUUGUAUUUGGUUAUAGUGUUAAUGCACCCUCAAAUUUCUUCUGUAAUAAACUACUAUAAACUUG